rnacentral:sRNA from 1 species
CUGCAGCCCGGCUUGAACGGAGCUCUUUUUUGUCAUUGCGAUUGCUGUAAAAUUCAACGAAUUCUAAAGUUUGUUCGCAAUGACAAAAAAAGCGGGAGUGGAAGACGGAUUAAGC